rnacentral:rRNA from 1 species
UAGAAAUACGUGGCAUACGGCUCAGUAACACGUAGUCAACAUGCCCAGGGGACGUGGAUAACCUCGGGAAACUGAGGAUAAACCGCGAUAGGCCAUGAUUUCUGGAAUGGUUUAUGGCCGAAAUCUAUAUGGCCCCUGGAUUGGACUGCGGCCGAUCAGGCUGUUGGUGAGGUAAUGGCCCACCAAACCUGUAACCGGUACGGGCUCUGAGAGGAGGAGCCCGGAGAUGGGCACUGAGACAAGGGCCCAGGCCCUAUGGGGCGCAGCAGGCGCGAAAUCUCUGCAAUAGGCGAAAGCUUGACAGGGUUACUCUGAGUGGUUCCCGUUAAGGGGAUCUUUUGGCACCUUUAAAAAUGGUGCAGAAUAAGGGGUGGGCAAGUCUGGUGUCAGCCGCCGCGGUAAUACCAGCACCCCGAGUGGUCGGGACGAUUAUUGGGCCUAAAGCAUCCGUAGCCGGUACUGCAAGUCUUCCGUUAAAUCCACCUGCUUAACAGUUGGGCUGCGGGGGAUACUACAGCGCUAGGAGGCGGGAGAGGCAAGCGGUACUCAAUGGGUAGGGGUAAAAUCCGCUGAUCCAUUGAAGACCACCAGUGGCGAAGGCGGCUUGCCAGAACGCGCUCGACGGUGAGGGAUGAAAGCUGGGGGAGCAAACCGGAUUAGAUACCCGGGUA